UACGUAGGUGACCAGCGUUGUCCGGAUUUACUGGGCGUAAAGAGCGUGUAGGCGGCCACGCAGGUCCGUUGUGAAAACUGGAGGCUCAACCUCCAGCUGUCGACGGAAACCGUAUGGCUAGAGUCCGGAAGAGGAGAGUGGAAUUCCUGGUGUAGCGGUGAAAUGCGCAGAUAUCAGGAAGAACACCGAUGGCGAAGGCAGCUCUCUGGGACGGUACUGACGCUGAGACGCGAAAGCGUGGGGAGCGAACAGG
rnacentral:rRNA from 1 species